rnacentral:tRNA from 1 species
GGUGUCGUUAGGAUAAUGGUAGUCUCGGGACAGGGUUGGCAGCCUUCGGGUCAUAAACGUUAAAUGCUAUGCGGCCUACUGUACGGGUUCGAUUCCCGUGCGGCACCACCA